UACGAAGGGGGCUAGCGUUGCUCGGAAUCACUGGGCGUAAAGGGUGCGUAGGCGGGUUAUUAAGUCAGAGGUGAAAUCCUGGAGCUCAACUCCAGAACUGCCUUUGAUACUGAUAGUCUUGAGUAUGGGAGAGGUGAGUGGAACUGCGAGUGUAGAGGUGAAAUUCGUAGAUAUUCGCAAGAACACCAGUGGCGAAGGCGGCUCACUGGCCCGAUACUGACGCUGGGGCACGAAAGCGUGGGGAGCAAACAGG
rnacentral:rRNA from 1 species